rnacentral:lncRNA from 1 species
UUCGCGACUUCGGAUUCAUCUCAAGAGGCCUGUAUUGUUCCGGUAGCGGUAGCGGAAACAAGAUUGAUCAGGAACUUGAAGCCUUGUUACAUGACAGAACCGAGCCGUGAGUACUGUGUAGUUGGCGAUAUGGCGUGGCUUCUUUGUUAAGGUGCUUGUGGUUAAGGUUUAGGGUGGUAUAGUGGUUGUGAAGUUGUGAUUAUGAAGACAACAUGGAAUUAUAAUUAUAUACCUUGAUACAUGGGGUGUAGGUGUGUGCAUGAUACUUUAUAAAUCAAGUCUAAAGUGGCUCAAGGAUGACAAGACGAUGAUGACUUGAAAAAAACAUAGAAGUUUGUAAUCUCAUGGUGGUUAUAUCGUGCAUGCAUCAGCUAAGUGGAGCGGUGAUGGUGUUGGUAGAUAGUGAUGAAGUUGAUUGUGUUCGAUGCAUAAAGGAAUAAAUAAUAAAGAAACAAGAACACAACCGAGCACAUAGAUCAAAAGUCUACAGCA